rnacentral:rRNA from 1 species
UACGUAGGUGGCGAGCGUUGUCCGGAUUUAUUGGGUUUAAAGGGUGCGUAGGCGGGCAGGUAAGUCAGUGGUGAAAUCUCCGGGCUUAACCCGGAAACUGCCGUUGAUACUAUCUGUCUUGAAUAUCGUGGAGGUAAGCGGAAUAUGUCAUGUAGCGGUGAAAUGCUUAGAUAUGACAUAGAACACCCAUUGCGAAGGCAGCUUACUACACGAUCAUUGACGCUGAGGCACGAAAGCGUGGGGAGCAAACAGG